CUCUUCGGGGAUGAUUAAACCGGCGCACGGGUGAGUAACACGUGAGUGACCUGCCUUUUAGACUGGAACAACUUACCGAAAGGUGAGCUAAUGCCGGAUGAGUUAUAUAAGUGCAUGUUUAUAUAGGAAAAGUUGGGGAGACCUGACGCUGAAAGAUGGACUCGCGUCCCAUUAGCUAGUUGGUAGGGUAAUGGCCUACCAAGGCGACGAUGGGUAGCCGGCCUGAGAGGGUGGCCGGCCACACUGGGACUGAGACACGGCCCAGACUCCUACGGGAGGCAGCAGUGGGGAAUUUUGCGCAAUGCUCGUAAGAGUGACGCAGCGACGCCGCGUGAAUGACGAAGGCCUUCGGGUCGUAAAGUUCUUUCGACAGGGAAGAAAAUGCCUAUAAGUAACUGUGUAUGUAUUGACGGUACCUGUAUAAGCAGCCCCGGCUAACUCCGUGCCAGCAGCCGCGGUAAUACGGAGGGGGCGAGCGUUGUUCGGAGUGACUGGGCGUAAAGAGCACGUAGGCGGUGUUGUAGGUCAUUAGUCAAAGACUAGAGCUCAACUUUAGUAAGGCUAGUGAUACUAUAAUACUAGAGUAUCAGAGAGGAUUGCAGAAUUCCUGGUGUAGCGGUGAAAUGCGUAGAUAUCAGGAGGAAUACCGUUAGCGAAGGCGGCAAUCUGGCUGGAAACUGACGCUGAGGUGCGAAAGCGUGGGUAGCAAACAGGAUUAGAUACCCUGGUAGUCCACGCUGUAAACGAUGGAUGCUAGGUGUUGGGCUUUUAAGUUCAGUGCCGCAGNCAACGCGAUAAGCAUCCCGCCU
rnacentral:rRNA from 1 species